rnacentral:rRNA from 1 species
GACAGAGGAUGCAAGCGUUAUCCGGAAUGAUUGGGCGUAAAGCGUCUGUAGGUGGCUUUUAAGUCCGCCGUCAAAUCCCAGGGCUCAACCCUGGACAGGCGGUGGAAACUACCAAGCUGGAGUACGGUAGGGCAGAGGAAUUUCCGGUGGAGCGGUGAAAUGCGUAGAGAUCGGAAAGAACACCAACGGCGAAAGCACUCUGCUGGGCCGACACUGACACUGAGAGCACGAAAGCUAGGGGAGCGAAUGGG